rnacentral:rRNA from 1 species
AGAGUUUGAUCCUGGCUCAGAACGAACGCUGGCGGCGUGGAUUAGGCAUGCAAGUCGAACGAGAAUCUGAUGGUUCAAGUUUUCGGACAAGAAACAUCGGAGGACAGUGGCGGAAGGGUGAGUACAACAUGGGUAAUCUAUCUUCAAGUUGGGUAUAGCUUCCCGAAAGGGGAGAUAAUCCCGAAUGUGGCGAUCCGGCGCAUGUCGGAGAAUCUAAAGGCGGGGACCGCAAGGCCUGCCGCUUGAAGCCGAGCCCGUGCACUAUCAGCUUGUUGGCGGGGUAAUGGCCCACCAAGGCGUUGACGGUUAGCUGGUCUGAGAGGAUGGUCAGCCACACUGGGACUGAGAUACGGCCCAGACUCCUACGGGAGGCUGCAGUCGAGAAUCAUUCGCAAUGGGCGAAAGCCUGACGGUGCGACGUCGCGUGGAGGAUGAAGGUCUUCGGAUUGUAAACUCCUGUCAUGUGGGAUAAAUGGCCCGGGCACGAAUAAUGCCUGGGAAUGAUCGUACCACAGGAGGAAGAGACGGCUAACUCUGUGCCAGCAGCCGCGGUAAUACAGAGGUCUCGAGCGUUGUUCGGAUUUACUGGGCGUAAAGGGAGCGUAGGCGGUUCAGUAUGUCGAAUGUGAAAUCCCACGACUCAACCGUGGAAUGGCAUUCGAAACUGCUGGGCUAGAGUACUGGAGAGGAGAGCGGAAUUCUUGGUGUAGCGGUGAAAUGCGUAGAUAUCAAGAGGAACACCGGUGGCGAAGGCGGCUCUCUGGACAGAUACUGACGCUGAGGCUCUAAAGUUAGGGGAGCAAACAGGAUUAGAUACCCUGGUAGUCCUAACUGUAAACGGUGUACACUUGGUGUGCGAGGAAUUGUCCCUUUGCGCGCCGCAGCUAACGCGUUAAGUGUACCGCCUGGGGAGUACGGUCGCAAGAUUAAAACUCAAAGGAAUUGACGGGGACCCGCACAAGCGGUGGAUGAUGUGGAUUAAUUCGAUGCAACGCGAAAAACCUUACCUACCCUUGACAUGUUCAGAAUCCUGAAGAGAUUUGGGAGUGCCCGAAAGGGAGCUGGAACACAGGUGCUGCAUGGCUGUCGUCAGCUCGUGUCGUGAGAUGUUGGGUUAA